rnacentral:tRNA from 1 species
UGGCUCGUAGCUCAAUCGGAUAGAGCACCUGUAUCCUUACGGGGCGCUGAAGGUUCGAAUCCUUCCGGGCCAA